UUUUGAGAAAUACUCUCCCCAUUGCCAUAAUCCUCAGCACUCUACUGCAGAGGGUUUUUUCUUCUACUGCUUUCUGCCUCGGUGUUUGUUGGUGUGUGUGUGUGUGUGUGUGUGUGUGUGUGUGUGUGUGUGUGUGAUGUAGAGGAGGGGUAUGGCAUGCUGUGGAGUCAGUUUUCCCCUCCCACCUUUUUGGGGGUCCCAGGGCUCUAGCUCAGGUCAUCAGAAUUCUGUGGUAUACACUUUCCCCUGAUGAAUGAUAGGCUCUCCACCUUGGUUAUUGGAGACAGGGUCCCUUGCUGAACCCAGAGCUCACUAAUUGGCUAGAUUGGCUGUGUUUGUCUCCUGCUAGGGUUACAUGCGUGUGUCACUGUGCUUGGCUUUUAUGUGUGUUCUAGGGAAUGCAAAUGCAGGCUUUUAUGCAUCUGGGGGCAGGCACCUUACCAACUGUACUGCCUUCUAGCCCUGGUUCUGGGAUCUAACCCAUUCUCGGUGAUGCUAAGGAAGUGGAGGACUCUGAGAAUCAUGGCUUUACUGAGUCCUAGACAGAAAGGCAGAGAGCCAGUCUGUCAUCAAGUGUGUUGUGAGGUUUCUGUCCUACUUGGCAUUUCUUGUGUUUGAUGCUACUUUCUAGGCACUGGUGGAAGUUGGGUUUGAAAUAUAAGCAGUUUUGGACCCAGAGUUGGGUCCUAAAGUCUCAAGAGGCAGAAAGGACCUGGCUACUUGGGGGUAGCCAAGACUCAGUCAAGAGCAGGCCCAGAGUACCUGAAGCAGUGGGAGUAUGAGCUCAACCUCAAGAGAUUACAGGACUGAGAGAUGGUCCAUAGGUGAACAGUGGAUGAACAUCAGGGGGUACCUGGACCCCUGCCUUAAAGGAAAGGAAGAGGAAUAGUCAUUAUUGAACGGGAAGGCUGGCAGGAGCGACCAGAGGUAGGGGGAGAGUGGAGCGAGCUGGUGAUGGAGAGCUGUGGCCUUAUCAUUAGAGGGAGAACUGUUGGCACACACCGAAGGCCAAAGCUUAAAUAGUUAAAGAGCGAGGUUCUCAGGCCCAUGAGGGCAGGAAGUGGGUGUCCUGUUACCCUUGUACACAGCAUGCCUGGUUACCUGCUGUUGUCAGAGGCAUGGCUUGUUGUGAGCAACUGUCUCUGACGCUCUGGUGGUGAGGCUGCAACCUGGAGCUAAGCAUGGUCCUCUUUCAGCUCCUUGGCCCGUGGUCCUGGUGGCAUUCUACCCCUGUGGUCAGCCCAGAGCCUCUUCUGCCCAUGCAGUACCCAGCAGCCACUGCGGAAGGCCUUAGUGGCCCGCUGUCCGGGGCCUACACGCUUCCCGCCUUCAAGUUCCAGCCUCGCCGUGAAAGCAUAGACUGGAGACGAAUCAGUGCCGUGGACGUGGACCGUGUGGCCCGGGAGCUGGACGUGGCCACACUGCAGGAGAACAUUGCUGGCGUCACCUUCUGUAACCUGGACGGGGAGGUGUGCAACCACUGUAGGCAGCCGGUGGACCCGGUGCUGCUCAAGGUACUGCGCCUGGCACAGCUCAUCAUUGAGUACCUGCUGCAUUGCCAGGACUGCCUGAGUGCCAGCGUGGCACAGCUGGAAGCACGGCUGCAGGCCAGCCUGGGCCAGCAGCAGCGUGGCCAGCAGGAGCUGGGUCGCCAGGCCGAUGAGCUCAAGGGCGUUCGGGAGGAGAGCCGGCGUAGGCGAAAGAUGAUCAGCACCCUGCAGCAGCUGCUUCUGCAGACGAGUGCCCAUAGCUACCACACGUGCCACUUGUGUGACAAGACCUUCAUGAAUGCCACCUUUCUCCGGGGCCACAUCCAACGCAGACAUGCAGGCAUGGCAGAUGUCGGAAAGCAGAAGCAGGAACAGCCACUGGGGGAGGUGCUGGAGGAGCUUCGGGCCAAGCUCAAGUGGACCCAAGGGGAGCUGGAAGCCCAGAGGGAGGCUGAGCGGCAGCGGCAGGUCCAGGAAUUAGAGAUGGCUCGUCAGCGGGAAAUGGAAGCUAAAAAAAAGUUCGAUGAAUGGAAAGAAAAAGAACGCAGCAAGCUUUAUGGAGAGAUAGACAAGCUGAAACAGCUGUUUUGGGAUGAAUUCAAAACUGUUGCCAACCAGAACUCCACGUUAGAAGAGAAACUGAAGGCACUGCAGUCCUACAGCAUGACGGAGUCUCACCUUGGGUCUCUGCGGGAUGAAGAGUCAGAGGAGAGACUCAAGCAUGCCCAGGAGGUCCAGGCCCUUCAAGAAAAGAUGGAAGUCCAGAAAACAGAGUGGAAGAGGAAAAUGAAGGCCCUGCAUGAAGAGCGGGCAGCUGAGAGGAGACAGCUGCAGGAGGAGAAUGAGAGGCUCCACGUGUCCCUGUCUCAGGACCAGAAGAAAGCAGCUGCCCAGUCUCAGCGCCAUAUCAAUGCCCUCCGUGCCCAGCUUCAAGAACAAGCCAGGCUUAUCGAGUCCCAGGAGGAGACGAUCCAGACUUUGUCCCUCAGGAAGGUGGAGGAAGUCCAAGAGAUGCCAAAGGCUGUGGCCACAGAGGAGGACUCUUCUGAAGAAGAGCUCGAGGCCUCCCUUGAGGAGCGGCAGGAGCAACGGAAGGUGUUAGCAGCUCUCAGGAAAAACCCCACUUGGCUGAAGCAGUUCCGGCCCAUCCUGGAGGACACCCUGGAAGAGAAGCUGGAGGGCCUGGGGAUCAAGAGGGACACAAAGGGAAUUUCUGCUCAGACUGUCCGACGUCUGGAGCCCCUGCUGAGAACCCAAAGGGAGCAGAUAGCCCGAAGCUUCCGAGAGUUUCCCAGUCUGAGGGAAAAGCUCAACAAGGAAGUGAGCAGCAGGGUGAAGCAAAGAUGGGAGAGUACGACCCAGCCAGAUGGCCAGCCUCCAGUCAAAAGCCAGCGGGUCACACUGGCCACAAGGGAGGUCCGGCCAAAGACCAGGACCUUGACUGUGGCCCUGCCAUCCAAACCAGCAGAACCUUCAACGCCAACUCUUCAGGGCCACAGCAGCCAUGGCCCCGGCCUCACCCAGGUGUCCACCCCCAUUCCACGCCCCAGAGUGCAUGGACCCUCCAGUACCCCUGUUUCCCCUGGGUCCGGGCUGAGCAGCACCCCGCCUUUUAGUUCUGAAGAAGAGCCAGAGGGAGAUGUCGUGCAACGUGUGUCCCUUCAGCCUCCUAAAGUUCUCCCUAGGUCAGCGGCCAAGCCUGAGGACAACUGGGGCUGGUCUGAUUCCGAGACCUCAGAGGAGAGUGCCCAACCUCCUGGGAAGGGCUCAGGCGGGCUGGCUUCUUCAGGGCGUCACGAUGAGGAGUUGAACCUUUCUCUUCUCAAAGUAAUGGCAUCUGCCCCCAGCCUUUCAAGGUUCGCUUAUAAAACCCACCAAAGGAAGUGAUGCUCCUGCUUCAGGCUGUGUUUCUCCGCCCAGGUGGAGAAUGGGGCGCUUACAGUUUUGACAUUGCAAAGGAGAAGCGAGGGGAGCCCUGGGGUUUGCAGUCUGUAAGCGCCUCCUUAUCUUAGUAGACUCCGAGAUGCUGCUUCAUGCCCGCUGCAUAGUCCAAGCCUGUCAGCCUGUGAGAAGCCACCAGGGUUAGUUUUCUGGAUGGAGCCUUGCUGCCUUAGUGGGCGGGCUGGCAAGAUGAUGGAGCUGGGAGAUCAUGUGUCUACUGAUACAGUUUGGCUGUGUUACCCUCUGCUUGGCCUUGUUCGAGGAUUCUGGUUUCUCUGUUGUAAGAGAUGACAUAUUUUAACAAGACAACUAAUAAGGAGGUUGAGGAACUCGGUGCUUGGCACAGAGUAGGAAUUUAAUAAGCAUUUCUGUCUUUUAAAGACUCAUUUUUAACUAUGUUGCAAGUCUGUGUGCAGGUAUGUGCAAGUGAUGCAGAUGGCCCCGUGGAGGCCAAAGGAGGGCGCUGGAAUCCUUGAAGCUGGAGUUGUGGGUGGUUGUGAGCUGACUGAUGGUGGUAGCCAAGCUCAGGUUAAAUGAGGUAGACCCUCUUAACCACUGGGCCAUUCAGCCCCGGGAACCACAAUGAUCAAUCAUCCAAGGGCUGUUAACAGCUCCAAAAGUCUGCAGAGAUUCUUAGCGUUUGAAUCCAGGGAGCUGGGUGAAGUUCAGGCUAUGCUUCUCCAUCAUCUUGGUUUACCAUGAGUGUGUGUGUGUGUGUGUGUGUGUGGCUAUUGAUAAUCCGAGUUACUGGUUAACACCUGCUUCCUGUAUGGAAUUCACAGGAAGUGAAUCUAAUCCACUGAUUAGAUCGGAGCCCUAUGUCUCACAGGCACGCCCCUGAGGUGUGCUCUACUAAUUCCCUAGGCCAUUUCCAAUCCAGUCAGCUUGACAAGGUUAGCCAUCACACAUUGCCUGACAUGCCAGUCUUUGUAGUUCAUGCAUUACAGAAUUACAGGAAUUAAACGGAAGGCUGGCUCUGCCUUGGAUUCAUUAGAGGGUUGGUCUUUCUAAACCUCCGCCAGCAGCCACGUCCUAACUCAGCACAGUUACAUGAUGAAGGCGGGUUUUUUUUGUCUGUUUGUUUGUUUUGCUCUAUCACCUGUCUGUCUGUCUGUCUGUCUGUCUAUCUAAGUCUCUUGAAACCAGGCUAGUAUUAGCCUGGACCAUCUCUAUAUUUUUUUUUCUCUGUGGGGGAGGGGAGGGGCUUGUCCUUUCUUUUUCCUCUUGACUCUCUCUCUCUCUCUCUCUCUCUCUCUCUCUCUCUCUCUCUCUCUCUCUCUCUGUCCAUCCGUUCACACUGGAGCCUAGGUGUGGCCCAAAGGGACUAAGCAUUCACUCUCCAGGUUUGCUCCACUGACCUGGUUCCUUGUCCCCUUCCCAGGAACACUGGUGCAGUCAAUUGUCAAAAACCUUGAGAAGCAGCUUGAAACGCCAGCCAAGAAGCCUUCCGGAGGGGUCAAUAUGUUCUUAAGGCCCAACGCUGCCCUCCAGAGGGCUUCCACACCAGCAAGGAAGUCUCAGCUUUCAGAAGAUGAGAGUGACGUGGAGAUCUCGUCUUUGGAAGAUCUCUCCCAAGACCUGGGCCAGAAAGGAAAGCCAAAGCCUUUGUCCCACUCAAAGCUCCCAGAAAAGUUUGAUGUCAGCCCUUGGAGCUCGGGGUCACGACCCAGGAUUCCUGGCUGGUGAUUCUCUUAUGUUUGCCAGAGGGCUUAGCCUUGUUUCUUGGCUGGUCUCACCCAAAUGGAAGAGGCCGUCAGGCCUCCCGCUCUCACUAGCAGCCAAGAAAUCUUUCCCUUGAAGAGAAGCAGGGUAGGAGACAGACAGAACCUCUAUCCACCCCCCGACCGCUACCCCAAAAGGCUGGCUCCUGGUGCUGGGUCUUGUGUAAAUGUGAGAGGGAUUGUAACAGGACUUCCUAGUGUUUCUUCCAUGAUCCCCAUGUCCAGCCCAGACUGAAAGUAGUUACUCUUUCUAAGUUUUUGUAAUCUGCAGGUCAACGUGGAGUUGGGUUCUGAGUCAGUUACCAGUUAGGUAGUCUAUGGUGGACUCUCUAGCUUUUCACUACUGAAUUGGGGUGCAGACAGAGGUAAGAGGUACAACGUGCUUGCUACCAGGGCCAGGCAUAGUAAUCGAGUGCUAGCCUGCUACCAGGGCCAGGCAUAGUAAUCGAGUGCUAGCCUGCUACCAGGGCCAGGCAUAGUAAUCGAGUACUAGGCAUUAGAGUGUUGGGAUGGCAUGGUUGAGGCUGGCUGCCCUACUUUCAUUUCUGUUGCUGUGAUAAACACUCCGACCAAAAGCACCUUAGAGGAAGAAAGGCUUUGUUAGUCUAUGACUGCAAGGAGAUGAAGGCUGGACCAUGAAGGUAGACCUGCUUGCUGUUCCACACAGCACUACCUCUGACCAAGUAAUUCACUUCACAGCCAAAGAAACAUGUUAGGAACCCUAGAGGAUACUGCUUGCUAACUGCAGCUGUGUGCUAGCUCUUUUUAUACAGUUCAGGACCUCCUGCCUAGGGAUGGUACUGCCCACAGUAGGCUGGGUUCUCCUACAUCCGUGAACAAUCUAGACAAUCCCUCACAGACAUUGCCCUCAAAGCACUUCCUCUGAGGAGGCUCUCCUCUUGGACAGUUCUCAGUUGUGACAAAUGGAUAUUUAAAACUAACCAGAACACCAUUCCACCCAGUCCAGGAUGACCCUGGAGAAAGCCCCAGAGUUGUGUUGUGUGGUGGAGCUUGGUCAUGGGCAAUAAAAAGAGCAAUCUGGAUGAAGCCUCUUGUCCCCAAUAGAACCAUAAAUUUAAUUUUUGAGAUUGUUUCUGAAUGAGAUUUUUUUAUAUAUAUUGACUGUAUUUUUGGGCAGAGAGGGGUUGGGUUUUAAAAAUAUUUUUAUUUAUUAUUAUUUUUUAUUUUUUUAUUUUUUUUGAGACAGGGUUUCCCUGUGUGGCCCUGGCUGUUCUGGAACUCUCUCUACAGCCUAGGCUGCUCUUGAACUCAGAGAUCUGCCUGCCUCUGCCUCCUGAGUGCUGAGAUUAAAGAUGUCCAUGGUGGCACGUAGCUUACAUUGUAUUUUUUUUUUUUAGUGUGAAAACAUUUAUUUAUUAUACUGAACAUUUAAAUAUAAUGAUGUAUACACCUCUUUAUUAUGUCGUUCUUUGUUAUUUUUUUCAAGCUUUGUGGCGACUGAGGGUGGUGAAGAGGGAGUGAAGCAGCUUCCACCUCAGUUGUACCAGCUUAGGGCCUUUGGGAUGCAGUGAUCGAGGUGUGGUAAGACAGCCAGUUUUACUGAGGUGCUUUACCUGGGCAAGGUAAAGGUGGCUGAAAUGGGGUCUGACAGCGGAAGAUUGCAGAGUGGAAAAAUGGAAAGGCAUGUUCUAGUCAGUGCUCUAUUGCUGUGAACAGACACCAUGAUUGUGGCCAGUCUUAUAAAGGCAAACAUUUAAGUAGAGCUGGCUUACAGUUUCAGAGGUUCAGUCCAUUGCCAUCAUGGAGGGGAGCAUGGGCACACAGGCAGACAUGGUUCAGGCAGCAGGAAGAGAGAGAUACUGGUCCUGGCUUGGGCUCUGAAACUUCAAAGCCCACCCCCAGUGACACACUUCCUCUAACAAGGCCACACCUCCACCAACAAGGCCACACUCCAUAAUCCUUUCAAAUAGUGCCACUCCCUGGUGACCAAGCAUUCAAAUCUGUGUGCCUGUAGGGGCCAUGCUUAUUCAAACUACCACAAGGCAGAAACAGGGAGAACCCAGACAGCAAUGCAGGGCUCUCACAGGAGAGCUACAGAGUCAGGACUGCCUACUGUAGUGUCCCCAAACCUUUGUUACUGCACUGUGCUUUAUCAUUGGCUGGGGGAUCCUGGGGUCGCAUGAGACCUCAGCUGUGAACUCUGUCAGCCAAUUAUAUUCCUUGCAUUUGAAUAGAGACUUUAAUAUCCUAAGAGAAAAAUAGUCAUCUUAAA